rnacentral:rRNA from 1 species
UACACUCCUACGGGAGGCAGCAGUGGGGAAUAUUGGACAAUGGGCGCAAGCCUGAUCCAGCCAUGCCGCGUGAGUGAUGAAGGCCCUAGGGUUGUAAAGCUCUUUCACCGGUGAAGAUAAUGACGGUAACCGGAGAAGAAGCCCCGGCUAACUUCGUGCCAGCAGCCGCGGUAAUACGAAGGGGGCUAGCGUUGUUCGGAUUUACUGGGCGUAAAGCGCACGUAGGCGGACUAUUAAGUCAGGGGUGAAAUCCCGGGGCUCAACCCCGGAACUGCCUUUGAUACUGGUAGUCUUGAGUUCGAGAGAGGUGAGUGGAAUUCCGAGUGUAGAGGUGAAAUUCGUAGAUAUUCGGAGGAACACCAGUGGCGAAGGCGGCUCACUGGCUCGAUACUGACGCUGAGGUGCGAAAGCGUGGGGAGCAAACAGGAUUAGAAACCCCUGUAGUCCCAUG